rnacentral:misc_RNA from 1 species
AUACAGUUAGAAGUAGUUUUGUGCCUUUUCACUUUCCUGAAACCAGAAGUCAUUAACACAUUUUUCUUGUUGUAAAAUACCAUUCUAAAAAAAGAUUUGUGCUUUCUCACUUUCUUAAACCAGAAGAUCCCUAGUGAGCUAAAAUCCAGUAAAACAAACUCUUUCCAACAAGAAAUCAAUCGAACAGAUCAAAUACCUACUUUACCACCGACACAGCAAUCAUUUAUUUGUUAGUGCUAAAACCCACUUCAAGGUACUUCUAA